CAUGGCCAAGUCGGAGCGGGAUUUCACGGAAGCUUGCUCCGUGAAAUCAGCGGCGGACGGGUGAGUAACACGUGGGCAACCUGCCUGUAAGACUGGGAUAACUUCGGGAAACCGGAGCUAAUACCGGAUAACUCUUCGGACCCCAUGGUCUGAAGAUAAAAGAUGGCUCUGCUAUCACUUACAGAUGGGCCCGCGGCGCAUUAGCUAGUUGGUGAGGUAACGGCUCACCAAGGCGACGAUGCGUAGCCGACCUGAGAGGGUGAUCGGCCACACUGGGACUGAGACACGGCCCAGACUCCUACGGGAGGCAGCAGUAGGGAAUCUUCCGCAAUGGACGAAAGUCUGACGGAGCAACGCCGCGUGAGCGAUGAAGGCCUUCGGGUCGUAAAGCUCUGUUGUUAGGGAAGAACAAGUAUCAGUUAACUGCUGGUACCUUGACGGUACCUAACGAGAAAGCCACGGCUAACUACGUGCCAGCAGCCGCGGUAAUACGUAGGUGGCAAGCGUUGUCCGGAUUUAUUGGGCGUAAAGCGCGCGCAGGCGGUUCUUUAAGUCUGAUGUGAAAGCCCACGGCUCAACCGUGGAGGGUCAUUGGAAACUGGGGAACUUGAGUGCAGAAGAGGAGAGCGGAAUUCCACGUGUAGCGGUGAAAUGCGUAGAGAUGUGGAGGAACACCAGUGGCGAAGGCGGCUCUCUGGUCUGUAACUGACGCUGAGGCGCGAAAGCGUGGGGAGCAAAACAGGAUUAGAUACCCUGGUAGUCCACGCCGUAAACGAUGAGUGCUAAGUGUUGGAAGGGUUUCCGCCCCUUCAGUGCUGCAGCUUAACGCCAUUUAAGCACUCCGCCUGGGGGAGUACGGUCGCUAGACUGAAAACUCAAAGGGAAUUGACGGGGGCCCCGCACAAAGCGGUGGGAGCAUGGUGGGUUUAAUUCU
rnacentral:rRNA from 1 species